rnacentral:rRNA from 1 species
CGGGGGGCAGCAGUGGGGAAUUUUGGACAAUGGGCGCAAGCCUGAUCCAGCAAUGCCGCGUGCAGGAUGAAGGCCUUCGGGUUGUAAACUGCUUUUGUACGGAACGAAACGGCUCUUUCUAAUAAAGAGGGCUAAUGACGGUACCGUAAGAAUAAGCACCGGCUAACUACGUGCCAGCAGCCGCGGUAAUACGUAGGGUGCGAGCGUUAAUCGGAAUUACUGGGCGUAAAGCGUGCGCAGGCGGUUAUAUAAGACAGAUGUGAAAUCCCCGGGCUCAACCUGGGACCUGCAUUUGUGACUGUAUAGCUAGAGUACGGUAGAGGGGGAUGGAAUUCCGCGUGUAGCAGUGAAAUGCGUAGAUAUGCGGAGGAACACCGAUGGCGAAGGCAAUCCCCUGGACCUGUACUGACGCUCAUGCACGAAAGCGUGGGGAGCAAACAGGAUUAGAUACCCGAGU